GACGAACCGUGCGAACGUUGUUCGGAAUCACUGGGCUUAAAGGGCGCGUAGGCGGGUGUGCAAGUCUGUGGUGAAAGCCUCCAGCUUAACUGGAGAAGUGCCAUGGAUACUGCACAUCUUGAGGAGGGUAGGGGCAUCUGGAACGGUCGGUGGAAGCGGUGAAAUGCGUUGAUAUCGACCGGAACUCCGGUGGCGAAGGCGAGGUGCUGGACCCUUUCUGACGCUGAGGCGCGAAAGCCAGGGGAGCAAACGGG
rnacentral:rRNA from 1 species